UCCGGGGGGGGCAAGCGUUGUUCGGAAGUACUGGGCGUAAAGGGCUCGUAGGCGGCCAACUAAGUCAUACGUGAAAUCCCUCGGCUUAACCGGGGAACUGCGUCUGAUACUGGAUGGCUUGAGAUUGGGAGAGGGAUGCGGAAUUCCAGGUGUAGCGGUGAAAUGCGUAGAUAUCUGGAGGAACACCGGUGGCGAAGGCGGCAUCCUGGACCAACACUGACGCUGAGGAGCGAAAGCCAGGGGAGCAAACGGG
rnacentral:rRNA from 1 species